GAUGAACGCUAGCUACAGGCUUAACACAUGCAAGUCGAGGGGAAACGAUGAGAGAGCUUGCUCUCUUAGUCGUCGACCGGCGCACGGGUGAGUAACGCGUAUCCAACCUGCCUCUGACCAAGGGAUAACCCGUCGAAAGUCGGACUAAUACCUUAUGCAGUCGUCGGAAGUCAUCUGAUGACGACGAAAGAUUUCAUCGGUGCGAGAUGGGGAUGCGUCUGAUUAGCUUGUUGGCGGGGUAACGGCCCACCAAGGCGACGAUCAGUAGGGGUUCUGAGAGGAAGGUCCCCCACAUUGGAGCUGAGACACGGUCCAAACUCCUACGGGAGGCAGCAGUGAGGAAGAUUGGUCAAUGGGCGUAAGCCUGAACCAGCCAAGUAGCGUGCAGGAUGACGGCCCUAUGGGUUGUAAACUGCUUUUAGGCGGGGAUAAAGUGAGGGACGUGUCCUUCAUUGCAGGUACCGCAUGAAUAAGGACCGGCUAAUUCCGUG
rnacentral:rRNA from 1 species